rnacentral:rRNA from 1 species
UACGAAGGGGGCUAGCGUUGUUCGGAUUUACUGGGCGUAAAGCGCACGUAGGCGGCUUCUUAAGUCGGAGGUGAAAUCCUGGAGCUCAACUCCAGAACUGCCUUCGAUACUGGGAAGCUCGAGUCCGGGAGAGGUGAGUGGAACUGCGAGUGUAGAGGUGAAAUUCGUAGAUAUUCGCAAGAACACCAGUGGCGAAGGCGGCUCACUGGCCCGGUACUGACGCUGAGGUGCGAAAGCGUGGGGAGCAAACAGG